UACGUAGGGUGCGAGCGUUUAAUCGGAAUUACUGGGCGUAAAGCGUGCGCAGGCGGUUCUGUUAAGACCGAUGUGAAAUCCCCGGGCUUAACCUGGGAACUGCAUUGGUGACUGGCAGGCUUUGAGUGUGGCAGAGGGAGGUAGAAUUCCACGUGUAGCAGUGAAAUGCGUAGAUAUUGGGAGGAACACCAGUGGCGAAGGCGGCUCACUGGACCGGUUCUGACGCUGAUGCGCGAAAGCGUGGGGAGCAAACGGGG
rnacentral:rRNA from 1 species